rnacentral:tRNA from 1 species
GGGGAUUUAGCUCAGUGGUAGAGCGCUUGCCUGGGAAGCGUAAGGCCCUGGGUUCGGUCCCCGGUCCCCA